rnacentral:rRNA from 1 species
UUCGGGUUAGUGGCGGACGGGUGAGUAACGCGUGGGAAUCUGCCCUCAGGAGGGGGAUAACGGCUGGAAACGGCCGCUAAUACCCCAUAUGCCGAGAGAUGAAAUGAAUUUCGCCUGAGGAUGAGCCCGCGUCUGAUUAGCUUGUUGGUGAGGUAAUGGCUCACCAAGGCUUCGAUCAGUAGCUGGUCUGAGAGGAUGAUCAGCCACACUGGGACUGAGACACGGCCCAGACUCCUACGGGAGGCAGCAGUGGGGAAUUUUCCGCAAUGGGCGAAAGCCUGACGGAGCAACGCCGCGUGGGGGAUGAAGGCCUCUGGGCUGUAAACCUCUUUUCUCAAGGAAGAAGAUCUGACGGUACUUGAGGAAUAAGCCACGGCUAAUUCCGUGCCAGCAGCCGCGGUAAUACGGGAGUGGCAAGCGUUAUCCGGAAUUAUUGGGCGUAAAGCGUCCGCAGGCGGCUUUUCAAGUCUGCUGUUAAAGCGUGGAGCUUAACUCCAUCAAGGCAGUGGAAACUGAUUGGCUUGAGUGUGGUAGGGGCAGAGGGAAUUCCCGGUGUAGCGGUGAGAUGCGUAGAUAUCGGGAAGAACACCAGUGGCGAAGGCGCUCUGCUGGGCCAUAACUGACGCUCAUGGACGAAAGCCAGGGGAGCGAAAGGGAUUAGAUACCCCUGUAGUCCUGGCCGUAAACGAU